CAAUAUUUUUCAUUAUUGGGCCAGGCCACAACACUGCGUUGUGACGUCGCAUUGCAAAAAACUACAUUGCUUUUCUAUGGUUGUUUUUGCGAUGCGACGCGGACGCCGCAACGCAGUG